GAUGAACGCUGGCGGCGUGCCUAAUACAUGCAAGUCGAGCGAACAGACGAGGAGCUUUCUCCUCUGACGUUAGCGGCGUGCGGGGGAGUAACACGUGGAUAACCUACCUAUAAAACUGCGAUAACCUCGGGAAACCGGUGCGAAUACCGGAUAAUAUAUUGAACCGCAUUGUUCAAUAGUAAACGACGGUUUUGCUGGCUCUUAUGGAUUGAUCCGCGCCUGAUUAGCUAGUUGGUAAGGUAACGGCUUAGCAAGGCAACGAUGCGUAGCCGAACUGAGAGGGUGAUCGGCCACACUGGAACUGAGACACGGUCCAGACUCCUACGGGAGGCAGCAGUAGGGAAUCUUCCGCAAUGGGCGAAAGCCUGACGGAGCAACGCCGCGUGAGUGAUGAAGGUCUUCGGAUCGUAAAACUCUGUUAUUAGGGAAGAACAAAUGUGUAAGUAACUAUGCACGUCUUGACGGUACCUAAUCAGAAAGCCACGGCUAACUACGUG
rnacentral:rRNA from 1 species